UGUUGAGCCAAUCGCCCAGUGGUUUAAGGUGCUAGGCGUACAAACAGAAAGGCCCAAGUUUGAUUCCUAGUUUGUUUCAACCCUUCACGUUAGAUGACCUCACUGAUACCAGGGCGGAACAGCUGCGACCUGUCAUACAACCUUGAUGACGUCAUUUCCGUUGUUUGGCUGGAGAGUUAAUCUUCUGCCUACUAGCGUCCUAUGUGGUCUGCCGACUCACAGGUAGGAAAGCAAGGCGAUGGUUGUAAGUUGGCCACUUGCCGCGUCCAUGCCCUGGCUGACACGCUCAAUGAAGAAGAG